GAUGAACGCUGGCGGCGUGCCUAAUACAUGCAAGUCGAGCGAACGGACGAGAAGCUUGUUUUUCUGAUGUUAGCGGCGGACGGGUGAGUAACACGUGGAUAACCUACCUAUAAGACUGGGAUAACUUCGGGAAACCGGAGCUAAUACCGGAUAAUAUUUUGAACCGCAUGGUUCAAAAGUGAAAGACGGUCUUGCUGUCACUUAUAGAUGGAUCCGCGCUGCAUUAGCUAGUUGGUAAGGUAACGGCUUACCAAGGCAACGAUGCAUAGCCGACCUGAGAGGGUGAUCGGCCACACUGGAACUGAGACACGGUCCAGACUCCUACGGGAGGCAGCAGUAGGGAAUCUUCCACAAUGGGCGAAAGCCUGACGGAGCAACACCGCGUGAGUGAUGAAGGUCUUCGGAUCGUAAAGCUCUGUUAUUAGGGAAGAACAUAUGUGUAAGUAACUGUGCACAUCUUGACGGUACCUAAUCAGAAAGCCACGGCUAACUACGUG
rnacentral:rRNA from 1 species